rnacentral:tRNA from 5 species
CAAGAAAUAGUUUAUAAUAAAAUAUUAACUUUGGGAGUUAAUGAAAAGGAAGAAUCUUUUUUCUUGA